rnacentral:tRNA from 1 species
GUCAGGAUGGCCGAGCGGUCUAAGGCGCCAGAUUUAAGCUCUGGUUCUCUAAGGAGAGCGUGGGUUCGAACCCCACUCCUGACA